UAGAUACCCUGGUAGUCCACGCCCUAAACGAUGAUAACUCGAUGUUUGCGAUACACAGUAAGCGUCCAAGCGAAAGCGUUAAGUUAUCCACCUGGGGAGUACGGUCGCAAGAUUGAAACUCAAAGGAAUUGACGGGGGCCCGCACAAGCGGAGGAGCAUGUGGUUUAAUUCGAUGAUACGCGAGGAACCUUACCCGGGCUUGAAAGUUAGUGAAUGAUCCAGAGACGGAUCAGCCUUCGGGACACGAAAC
rnacentral:rRNA from 1 species